UAGCCGUAAACGAUACUCGCUAGGUGUCGGCCACGGUGCGACCGUUGUCGGUGCCGUAGGGAAGCCGUGAAGCGAGCCACCUGGGAAGUACGGCCGCAAGGCUGAAACUUAAAGGAAUUGGCGGGGGAGCACAACAACGGGUGGAGCUUGCGGUUUAAUUUGAUUCAACGCCGGAAAUCUUACCGGGACCGACAGCAACAUGAAGGCCAAGCUGAAGACUUUGCCGGAUUAGCUGAGAGGAGGUGCAUGGCGUAGUCGUGU
rnacentral:rRNA from 1 species